CUUCAAAGAACUGUAUAUAAGCUUUGUAAAAUCCUUCAAUGGUGCCUUGUUUUAGUUAAAGUCUCAGUUCUACAAUGAAGGCAAUAUUCGCUCUGUUUGUGAUUGUCGCCAUCAUUGGAAUGGCAAUGGCUGGAGUUCACCAUUACAAAGUUAAUGGUAAUGGAGGAGGUCAUGUGCAUGGAACUGACUCAGCCCAUCAUGGUGGAAGUAUCUUUGAUGCUGUUGCUAGUGGCAUUAAUGGAAUUAUCGGUUAAAGAAAUGCAUUAUAUAAUAUGAAGACAAUACUGUAAUAAAAGAUGUAUGAUAUUUCAUAUUUUGAAAUAAAAUAUAUUACUGCAUUUACA